AUGGUUGUCGUCAGCUCGUGUCGUGAGAUGUUGGGUUAAGUCCCGCAACGAGCGCAACCCUUGUGUUUAGUUGCAAACAGGUCAAGCUGUGCACUCUAGACAGACUGCCGUGGACAACACGGAGGAAGGUGGGGAUGACGUCAAAUCAUCAUGCCCCUUAUGAUCUGGGCUACACACGUGCUACAAUGGCCGGUACAACGGGCAGCGAAGGAGCGAUCCGGAGCGAAUCCUAAAAAGCCGGUCCCAGUUCGGAUUGCAGGCUGAAACUCGCCUACAUGAAGUUGGAGUUGCUAGUAAUCGCGAAUCAGAAUGUCGCGGUGAAUGCGUUCCCGGGUCUU
rnacentral:rRNA from 1 species